AUUGCCAUUUCUGUAUAAUUUUGUUUGUACAAUAAAGUUUGACCAAUUAAAGUCCUUUUAUAUAACACAAUAUUCAUGUUUCAAUCGAAAUAAAUUCAAGUUGCAUUCAAAUGACACCUACACCUUGAGUUCAUUCGGCCAUUGAAUGUUUACUAGACAUUAGGCUUUUGUCAUGAUUCCAUAGAGACUGAUUUUAAAACCGUCCCCUGUAUACAUGAGUGCAAUCCCAUUCCUCAUGGACCUGUCCAACAUUGAUAAUGACAGAUAAUCUUUGAUGGAAACUUUAAAAUAACAGCGUUCAAAGGAGGGAAUCGUAGAUGCUUGAGGAUUUGUAACUUAUGGCCUCUCCUUCAAUCAAAGCUCCAGAGCCACUGUGCAUGACUUCAUCACCCCAUGAUGAUUAUGAUCAUGUGUAACUGUCAGAAGGAGGAGCUCAAAGAAUACAUGCAGCCACAAUCCAUCUCUGUGGAUGUCAGAGGAGAAGACACAUUCAGCGCUAGCAAUCGUAGACUCCUUACUCGUUUCCUUGUUCUCUUUCCUCUUUCACUGAAGAAAUGUCAUUACUAAUUAUUUUUACAGUGCUGUUAUUGUUCACUGGUGACUCAUUUGAGGAUUCAGUAACACCCAUUGAGACAGAGCAACACGCUUUAGAGGGUGAAACAGUGACUGUCUCAUGCAACUACAGUGGCUCAGUGAGAAGUCUGCACUGGUAUCGCCAGUUUGGCACAGCUGCUCCGGAGUUUCUUAAUCUCAUUUUAGAAGCCGGGACUGCUGUUGGAAAUGUGUCUCGUGUUGUUCCAAAAAUACACAAGAGCAUUCAGCGAGUGGAUUUGGAGAUUUCCCCUGCUAAGAUCUCAGACUCGGCUCUAUACUACUGCGCCCUGGAGCCCACAGUGACAGGAAACCCAGUAACGCUGCACAAAAAUCUUCCAUUGAGUAAGACAGGAGCAAAAUGAUGCUACACAUUCUAUGCAUACAUGACCUGAAGGAAUGAAUAAAUGAAGGAAGACAUUCAUUCAUUUAUGUUCUAAUAUGCAAAGAUGCCAUUUUAGUUUCCUCAUUUAGAGUAUAAAUUGAAGGAUCCAUAAAAUGAUCAAUUUCCCUCUCGCCAAGUGACUGUAUGGGUCAUGAGAUUUUUCUAGAAUGAAUGAAGCUGUACUGAUGACCUGAAAUAUUGCAUUUGCUAAAAGGUUAAAAGACAUUCACUCCCCCUUCA
ensembl:lncRNA